rnacentral:rRNA from 1 species
GCCUUGUGAAUUUUAUACAAGGUCGUGCCUGCCCAUUGAAUUAUAAAUUUAAAAGGCCGCAGUAAUUUGACUGUGCAAAGGUAGCAUAAUCAUUUGUUUUUUAAUUGGAGACUGGAAUGAAUGGCUUGACGAGAAAAUAACUUUAUUAAUUUUUAUAAUUAAAAUUAUUAUUUAAGUAAAAAAACUUAAAUUAAUUAAAGGGACGAAAAGACCCCGUCAAGUUUUAUAUAAACAUUAAUUAUACUAAAAAUCAUUUAUAAUUAAUGUUUAUAUUUUACUGGGGCGGUAAAAAUAUAUUAUCUUAUUUAAGUAACAAUGAAUAUAAUUUUAUAUUUAUCCUUUAAUUAAGAAUAAAAAAUUAAUUACUGCGGGGGUAACAGCGUUAUUUUUUUUUGGAGUUCAUAUUUUGAAAAAAGUUUGCGACCUCGAUGUUGGAUUAUUAAGGCUUUUAGGUGAAGUGGCUUAAGAAGUUAGUCUGUUCGACUAUUAAACUAAUACA